CCGCAAAACAAAACGCUUCGCACAGAGCGUGCGCCGCUCCUCACCCGCACAGGGUUAGGGUUCCUUGUGCCGACGCCGCCGCGCUCCUCGAGCACCUCCUGCUGCCUUUUCCCUCUCUUCCCUCCGAGCUUGCCGUCGGCGACGAGGCGCCGCCACGGCCGUUCUCUACCGCCUCCAGGAACCCGCCACGCGCGCCGAGGCGAGGGACUCCUGGCUCCUUCCAUCACCGCUUUGCCGAUGACCCCGCCGCCGGGCAGGAGGAGUGCUUCCGCUCCUCCAGGAACCAGCCACGCGCAUCAAGGUGAGGAGCCUCCUGGGCUCCGUCCGUCGCCUACCUGCAAGGUCGCCCCUCGUAUUCCAGCAAAUCAAAUAGGGUGCCGUGUGGGCAAGGGUUUCGCCGGUCUGUGGUCGGCUGCGAUGAAUUGGGUGUCCUGCUGUCUUUUCUUCAGUGCUUCUUUGGCACCGGCACAACUCUGGUCGAGUACCUACUCUUCAGGUUUGUCUUCUUCAGCCUAUAGCUCCUAAACACCAGAUGGCUGAUUUUUGGAUGAUGCAGGCAUGAAUGGGGAUUCCUAAAUUUGUGCUUCAGUGUCGAAUUAUUGUUGCUUAUACAUAGGUUCAGAAUAUGCAUCCAUUGCUCGGAAAAAAAUACAUUAUACAUCUACGAUAUAUACAAUUUCGAAGGAUGAUUUUGUGAUCAAUUUCAUACCACAAGAAAUGAUCAAAAUGAGCAAUCAUCGACAUGGCUGAUGCUAGCAAUGAUAGCCAUGUCAUUGGUUCUUACUAAAUUACUCGCGAUGAAGUAAUGUGUCUUUAUGUUGGUCCUUCAGUAUUUGCUUUUGCGUUUAUUUUGCAAGCAAAAAACAGGUGAGCGAAUCGGGAUUCAGUCGUGGGAGAUUUUUUGCGAUGAUGUUGCUCCAUGUUCUUUUUGUGAUUCAGGUGUUCGUUUUGCACAUGUUCAUAGUGGGCAAAUCGUUUUUUUUGUGACGAUUUCUGUGGUUUUCAUCAUCAGUGUUAGAACACAUUUGUUUCAUCAGGGGAUAGUUCUGAUCUAUGCAUGCAGCUAGAUUUUCCAUUUUAAUUUUAGAGACGACAAGCAACUUUGUUGUGGUCUUAUUAGUUUUUCAAAAUGGAAAUUCAGUGAUGAUCAUGUUAUAUAUUACUAUUAGCAUAGGUUCAGAGAUAACUUUAGUCAGUAAACAAAUUAUUUUCUUGCAGGUAAGUUCUGAUGUAUGUUCAAUAGCACAAUUUUUAUUUUGAUCUACUAUGAUUAGUCAAUGUUAGCUCUAGCAUCAACACUAACUGUCACUCUCAUGCCACCCCAUGGACGCCUCUGACCAAGGUGCAGGUCGGUGCUCGCCGUGGGUACAUCCACCAGAUUUUCCUUAUGUAGUUUGUUGAAAAUGAAGUGCUUCCACCAGCAUUAAUAUUCCACGAAAAUCAGACUUAAUGUUUGGUAAAACAUGAAGCUCCAGUCCCUAUGGAUAUCGUCUAGAUCAAGGAUAUAAAUUAUCGUCUGCAUCCAACUGGUGUGUUUUGACGGAUGCUUGUGGCUGAACCCGCAAAUCCUCAUUGAGAUUUAGAUGUACAGGAUAAGAGUGUCAAGAAAGUCAAUAUAUGGUUUAGUGCGGCACAUAUGUUGUCUACUAGGUAGUUACGCAGACAUCUAUUCCAUCUAGGUGCUUACUUAUGCACACUUGUACUUUCUGUUGUAGUAGUUAAUUGAAGUGUUUUUUUUAAUUUGGUUUCUCAAGAUGCUGUCAUAGUAGUGUUAAUUAGUCUCAAUACUUUAAUGUAAAAUGCUCUAACUGAUGGUUGCCAUAUAGCCAUGGAUUGUAUACAGUUUGUUUGGUCACCCUGAAAUAAUAAAUUGUUCCUUUGUUUGUUUUUGUGUUCCAUAGCAAGGAUUGAAUAAUUAGAACCCAAAAGCAAGUUUCAGGAUUUGUAAUGAAAUCCUAUUGUCGCCUUAUGUCGAGGCAACCAUGACACUCUCUGUACCAAAUAGACCACAACAAAAAAUUUAACCCACCCAGUCGUUAUCCCUUAUGAGCUGAUUUAUAUCACUCAGGAUGUAAGGCCCACUUUGUUGGGGUUAGAAGGUACUUGUGGACACCACCUUUAAGAAUGUAGCUGAAUUCCGGAUUAUCUUCCUUAUGAUCAACCAUAUGGCUUCUACUAGAUGGAUGUUCAUCAAUUAUGUCGGAUGCCUGUUGGUGUUGUCAUCACUUGUCACAAGUUUGAUCUAUAUUGCACGGGAUAGUCCCUGUCAUGGGAAUGCCCUGUUCUCCGAAGUUUACCAAAACAAUAACUAUUUAGUUGAACAUUGACAGUGUUUCUUGUUUGUUCUGUUAAGGCGGUUCAAAAAGUUACAGGGUUUUUAAGAUUUAUCUGUGCUUUCUUGAAAGGUAUGCUCGGAUCACUUCUACAUAUCUGGAUAGGAAAGUUUGAUUCUUCCUUACUAGAGCCAUACGACCAAAAGAUGAUUGGAAGGCUCUUUCCAAGCAUAAGGUGACUCAGUUGGGACACCAGGAACAGGAUUGCCGCGGGGUUGGACAAGGGGCUGCGCUACUUGCACUUUUUGUGCAGCCUAGGAUACCAUAUUGCAACCUCAAGCGAGACUGCUGUAAACACCAUGCGGUGGUUGUAUGCUGCCAUGGAGGGAAUAAAAGGCGCAUGUCGAUUGCAAGGAUGAUUAUAAUAGUAUAACCAAGGAGUGGUUGGGCUAGCCCAAUUUUUUUCUCAAAAAUAAACGCAUAACUGCAAUGGUUGGUUGUUGCUUGAGGAGGUGCAUAUGUCGUCAAGGUUGUUAUUGCUGGAGCUAGGAACGCUUCCAUAUUCUAAAGUUGGUUGUUAAUGGUUGAGCCAGACUGUGGAAAAAAAGCAGGAAUGUACAAGAAGGUGAAGGGAUUGCAGCAGCUGAUCCAAGAAGAUGGCCACUCCUUUGAGUUUCUGUCAUAGAUAAGUAUACUGUUGAUGCCGUACUUAUUCUGGAUAGUCAACUGGAUAUUACAGUUAUCUUCUGUGACUGUGUGAACCCACUGCCAUAGUCUCAUAAAAUCAUAUCAUCAAUCUUACUGUCUCAGCCAGCAACAGGACUGCCAUCGGUUUUUUUUAGAAUAACUGGCAUCAAAAAAAUGUAUCAAGGAUUAACUGUGUUUAAUGAGCUCACAAUCCUGAUUGAUAGAGGAGGAAUUUGCACUGGAUUUGAGAUUUCUCUCUUCACUGGUUUACAAUUAGUGGUUUUUUGUAUGCAGAUUAGUCAUUCAUUUGCUGGUGUUGUCCAUCAAUGUUGUGACAAACUGCACUAAUCGCCCGGUUUUGGUUGUAUCUUGGACUGCUCCGUCAACGUUUAUUUUCAUCAUCCCAGAUGAAGGAGGAUCCACCUUCGCUGUUGUACCCGCUGCACCCUUGCUUCACUUGAAACUCUUGGUGGUACUGUCAUCUCUAAGAUCGGAUAAGAAACGCGUAAUAAACAUAUGAGUAGCCAAUGGACUUUGGUGAUCACCUUCGUGAAUUAACUUCGGCCGAGCAGUCCAUAUGGCCCAGAUUGUCACCACCAUCCUUGUAAAUUCUUCCUGUGAUAAUGUCCCCAUCAUAGAGAAUAACCAAUUCCUUGCAUUCA